CUCUGGAAAAGACUCCAUAGUGUGGAAUUGUCUCUGGAAGACAUGUGCCCCACUGGAGACUACAUUUCCCAGCAUCCUUGGCAUCUAGGUGUGACCAUGUGACUAGUCUCCACCAAUGGAAUGUGAGCAGGAGUGGUGAGUGUCACUUCCAGGCAGGGCCUCGAGGAAGUAGGUGAGCUUCUCCAUCCCUGUCUGUCUAGAUGCAGAGAACCCAAAGCCCUGCAGGAUGGCAAAGCUGCAACAUGGAAGUCACCCGGAUCACCACGUAAAGGAAAUCUCUCCAACCAGGAACAAAUACCUGCCUUGCAAUAUUAGGUGGCCACCAGACUUUCUCUGCUUGUAUCCUCCCAGGACCACAGAACUCAUCGCAUCCCAAGGCAGCCUAUUCCAUCAUGGAUGAGCUCAAAGUGUUUGAAAGUUCUGCUUUAUCAAAGACAAGGUCUCACUAUGUUGCCCUGGCUGGUCUCUAACUCCUGGCCUCAAGCAGUCCUCUUAUCUCAGCUUUCCAAAGUGCUGGGAUUACAGAACCCUUGAUGGCCUGCUUCCCAUCCUCCAUCCUGGAAGACUGAUCUGAAACCCCAGGAGGAGGUCCUCUGAGCCCUGAGGCAGAGAUAUCUCACCUGGAAGAUGGGUCUAAUGACUGCACCCCACACACACCAGAGAGGACUGCAGAUAGUGCGGGGUGAGAGGAAGAUCUCUGGCCCUGGAGACAGCAUCAUCAAGCGGUAGCUUCAUCUUUGGGAGCUGGGGCCUCUGCAGGAGCUUUACCCUCCUCUCUCCAUGCUGAGCCUGUCUCAACCCCCUAACCUGCACCCCAGUCUUUUGGGGUCACCUCAAGGCUUUGGCUGAUGCUUCUUUGCUGACGUCAACCAAGAUGAUGGACCCAUUUGUCCUCAUAAAGUAACUCUUGAACAUACAUGCACUUCUCCCUCCCUCCUCUUGCUUUGAAGGGUGGGUGGGCACCUGCCACCAUGGGCAGGGUGAGGGCCAGCCCCAUACCCCCGAUGUCAGAAGGCAGCUGCCCCUGGCCUGUGGGUUUCUCUCAGAGGGGCCAGGUCUUCCUCACCACGUGUCCCCAGCACCUAGCCUGGGGCCCAGCCCAGGGUCACACUCAGUAAAUACUGGCUGAGAAUUAAGGGGGAACUUUCUCGUUCCCCUCCAACACUUUUCUUUUCUUUUUUUUGAGACAGAGUCUCACUCUGUCGCCCAGGCUGGAGUGCUGUGGUGCGAUCUCGGCUCACUGCAACCUCCACCUCCCAGAUUCAAGUGAUUCUCCUGCUUCAGCCUCCUGAAUAGUUGGGAUUACAGGUGCCCGUCACCACGUCUGGCUAAUUUUUGUAUAUUUAGUAGAGACGGGGUUUUGCAUGUUGACCAGGCUGGUCUCGAACUUUUGACCUCAAGUGAUCCACCCGCCUUGGCCUCCCAAAGUGCUGGAAUUACAGGCAUGAGCCACCGCACCCGGCACCAACGCUUUUCUGCAAGUGCUAGUGUCUGCCAUAGAGACAUCUGUGCACGCCCAGGGGCGGCUGAGGGGCCAUAAGCCUCCUUUGACUCCAUUAUCUUGCCUGUGCAGGCCAGACGAUUGCCUGAACCCACAACAGCUUCGCCAGAAGAGGGGCUUACUCAUCACUUCCACACAACCUGUUCCCCUCCCCCACUGGGACCAGCUGGGGUUGAGGGGGUGAGGGUCAGGCUGGGAAAGGCUCCUGGAGAUUGCAUUUGCAACCUACCCCUCCCCUGCCAACCUCUAUUACCACACUGAGAGGAACAGGGAGACAUCACUAAAUUGAGGACCUAGGUAGAGGGAGAAGAAGAGAGUGUCCUGUCAGCCUUCAAAGGUUAUUCAGAGCUCUUGGUGCAGGAAGGCCCUGCUAGAAAACUCCAAGAGUCCAGGAGGGCCUUGGGCAUAAAAGCUCAGAGUUGUCCUCAAGAAGCAACUGCAUGGCAGUUAUAUCAGAUGCACAUUCAACAAUAAUAAUAGCAAACCCUUACACAGAUCUACAAGCCCUUAUCCACACUUCAGAGAUCCCAGUGUUUCUGAACAAAAUAAUGUACGUGUAACACCAAAACUCAUUGGGUAGCCAAAACCUAACCUGAACAGAUGUAUGAAUACUCGUAUAUUGUUUUCUGCAGAAAUAUUAAUGUGUUUCGUUAUGGGAUGCUAAGCCAGAUCCCACUACCCACUAGUGUGUUAUAUAAGUCAUGUGCUUUCCAAAACCCCAAAACUCCCUAAAUUCCAAAAUGCAUCAGGACCCUGAGACACUGGAGUUUCAGUUAAGGAGUUGUGACCUGUGUAGCUUCCUCCAUGACAGGCACUGUUCUAACUGCUCUCCAUAAUAUUAACUCAUUCAAUCCUUACAAUGACCUGACAGAGUAGAACUUACUAUUAUUCUUCCAAUUUUAUAGAUAAGGAAACUGAGGCAGAGAGAGGUAAAGUGACUUGCCCAAACACAUACAGCUAAUGAAUGCUGGAACUGAAGCUUCCAGAGCCUAGUUCCAGAGCCCACUCUCCGAACAAGUCUACCAUCUAUUUCCCUUAAAAGGGCUGGUGAGGCCGGGCGCAGUGGCUCACACCUGUAAUCCCCAGCACUUUGGAAGGCUGAGGUGGGUGGAUCACCUGAGGUCAGAAGUUUGAGACCACCCUGCCAACAUGGUGAAACCCCAUCUCUACUAAAAAUACAAAAAUUAGGUGGGUGUGGUGGCGGGCACCUGUAAUCUCAGCUACUUGGGAGGCUGAGGCAGGAGAACUGCUGGAACCCAGGAGGCGGAGGUUGCAGUGAGCCGAAUCCGUGUCAUUGCACUCCAGCCCAGGCCGACAACAGCAAGAAUCCGUACAAAAAAAAAGGCUGGUGAGAGGGGCGUGGAGGUUGAGGGGUGUGGUAAACAGUAGGAGAUAACGAUUUUAUGUUGUGUGUGUGCUAUGGUUUGGAUGUGGUUUGUCUCCUCCAAAAUGCAUGUAGAAACUUGGUCCCCAAUGUAAUGGUAUUGGGAGGUGGGGCCUUUAAGAGGGGAUUAGGUCAUUAGGAGGGAUUAAUGCCUUUCUCACAGGAGUGGGUUAAUUCUCACAGGAGUGGGUGAGUUAUUGAGAGCAGUUCAUUACAAAAGUGAGUUUGGCUUCCUCGGCUUUCUCUUGCUUCCUCGGCUUUCUCUUGCUUCCUCUCACCCUACGAUGCAUUCUGCUGUGUUACAACACAGCACGAGGCCCUCACCAGAAGCUGACCAGAUCCAGCCACCCUGUCUUGGACUUCCCAGCCUCCAGAACUGUAAAAAACAAACCCCUUUUCUUUGUCAAUUACCCAGUCCCAUGGGUUCUAUGACAGCAACAGAAAGUGGACAAAUUGUGUAACAUGCACAUGUCCAGGAGGGUGUGUGAGAGGUAAUCCUGUUGUUACAGUUGUUCUGUAGGGUGACCAACAAUUGGGAAUUUCCCUGGGACUGUUUUGGUUUUAGCACUGAAAACUCUGUAUUUCAAUAAACUACUCAGACCUGGUAAACCAGGAUGGUUGGUCACCCUAGUUCUUGGCCUCUUUUCCUAUGAGCAACAUGAGGCUCAUGACCCACUGAGGAAGAUUCUAGGAUUUGAAGAUGCACUUUGUCUACAUAACACAGCUUCUCAACCCAAACCAGGAUCUCCAGCAGGCACUUACUCAAGACAUGGGGAAGAAGCCCCGGAGAAAAUGCUGGCUGUAUCAGAUUCAGCGAGGGACGAUGCCUCUGUCUCCACCUGGCAUCUUCCUAAGAGGUUUUCAAGGACCAAUGUGACUCUAUCAGGCUUUCACCUUGAGUGUUGAUGCUGGCCUCCAUUGUAAAUACAGUGGGAAUACACUUGAUAUUCUAAUUUAGAAAUGCCUGACUCUCAUCACCAGCUUUGAAUUUUAACUCCUCAAAGUCCAAAGUGAUUUCUUAGGAAUGACCCACACCAUGAGCUCAUAUCUAUCUUCCUGAGGCCUGCCCAGACCUGUCGAAGUAGAGAGAAGACAAGGCCCCUGCUUUUGAGAAGCAGAAAACGUAUGAGGAAGAAAAUAGCAGAUGAGAAGAAUCAACCAAAUUCCGGAAGCUGGAAGGCAGAUGCAAGAAGGCCCUUGAAUGAUGCCAGCACCUUGAUAUUGGACUUUCCAGCCUCCAGAACCAUGAGCCAAUACAUUUCUGUUCCAUAAAAAUUACCCAGUUCCAGGUAUUCUGCUAUAGCAGCACAAAAUGGACUAAAACAAUGUUGGCACAAGACUCAGUGCUGGGCCUGGCAUGCAACAGGUCCUUGGGAUGGUGGAAGCCUGGGCUCAGUGGGACUGUCAACUGGAAUGGCCAUAUGUGGACUCUCUUAGCAUGAUGGUCUCUUCUAGAAGCUUGGGUUCCCAGAGAGAAUGUUCAAGAGGCCCCAAAGGACACCACAAAGCUUCUUUAUGACCAAGGCUCGGAAAUCCAGGAAGCUUGCUCCCAUCACGCUCUAUUACUCCAACAAGUCACUCAGGCCAGCCCAGGUCCAAGAGGAGGAAACCUAGACUCCAUCUUGCAAUGUGAAGAACUGCAAAUAAUUUGUGUCACCCUUAAGCAACCAGCAACUCAUCUAGGUUGAUUGUCAUUUCAGCAAUGUGGUGGGAAGUGGUGGGACUGAUGUUGAAGAGGGACUUGAAUGUCAUGAGAGGCUGGGGAGGUAAUAAGGUGGGGAGUGAAGUUUCUCGAGUCAGAUUCAAAUUUAAACCCCAGUUUUGCCACUUACAACCCAUGAGCCAAGCAGGCUGUCUCUCUAUCUGAACCUCAGUGUCCUCAUCUGUAAAAUGAGGAGAACACCUCCUACAUCUGAGGAUGACUGUAAAGAUGAAAUGGGAUGGGUGCUUAUAAAGUGCUUCCCAGUGUACCUGGCUCCAAACCUGUCUCAGUAAAUGGCAGCCCCUAUUAUUGAACCCGAGUAACACAGAGAGCCAAGAAAGGAUCUUACAAAAAACUCCCCUGGCUUUGACAAUGUAUGAGACCCACUGAUAGGGUUUGGCUUUGUGUCCUCACACAAAUCUCAUCUAGUAGCUCCCAUAAUUCCUACAUGUUGUGGGAGAGACUCGGCGGGAGAUAAUUGAAUCAUGGGGGAUGGUCUUUCCCAUGCUGUUCUUGUGAUAGUAAAUAAGUCUCACAAGAUCUGGUGGUUUUAAAAAUGGGAGUUUCCCUGCAGGAGCUCGCUCUCUGUCUACUGCCAUCCAUGUAAGACGUGACUUGCUCCUCCUUUGCCUUCCGCCAUGAUUGCAAGGCCUCCCCACCAUUGUGGAACUGUAAGUCUAUUAAAGCCUCUUUCUUUUGUAAAUUACCCAGUCUCAGGUAUGUCUUUUUUUUUUUCUUCAUGAGAUGGAGUUUCGCUCUUGUUGCCCAGGCUGGAAUGCAAUGGUGUAAUCUUGGCUCACCACAACCUCCGCCUCCCAGGUUCAAGUGAUUCUCCUGCCUCAGCCUCCCAAGUAGCUGGGAUUACAGUCAUACACCACCACGCCUGGCUAAUUUUGUAUUUUUUUUUUUUUUUAGUAGAGAUGGGGUUUCACCAUGUUGGUCAGGCUGGUCUCAAAAACUCCCGACCUCAGGUGAUCCUCCUGCCUUGGCCUCCCAAAGUCCUGGGAUUACAGGCAUGAACCACUGCGCCCAGGCUCGGGUAUGUCUUCAUCAGCAGCAUGAAAAUAAUGGACUAAUACAGCCACCCUCUCCCUCACUCCCACAUACAACCAAACCCCAAAUCCAGCUGAUUUUACACCCAAAAUGCAGCUUGAAUAUGAGUUUCUCCGCUUCCCCCACUGAUAUCACUAUGCCCUACCCAGACCAUGGCAGUUGCCUCCUUCCUGGUAUCCUGUCCUCCCUCACCCCCGCUGGCCCCCUGUAAUGCCCUCCCCUCACAGCAGGGAGCCCAGGCUUCUCAAAGUGCCCUGUGGGUGCGAACCACCUGGGGGUCCUGUUUGUAUAAAAUACAGAUUCUACUUCAGUAGGUCUGGGAUGGGGUCUGAAAGUCUGCAUUUGUAGUCAGCUCCCAGGUGAUGUGGGUGCUGAUGAUUCCUGGAUCACACUUUCAGUAGCUGGAGAAUAUUUUUUCCAAAUAAAAGGGUGAUUUUGUCUCGCCUCCACUUAAAACACUCCACUGACUUCCUAGCAAUCCCACACCAUCGCUGGGUCCCACAUCCCUGGCAGGAUUCAGCUCCCAUCAGACCUUCUAGCCCCUUGCUCUCCAUUCUCCCACUCUCUCUUUCCCCCUUGUUUAUGGGUUUGUUAAUUUAUUUAUGAUGAAAUGAAGCUACCAUCCACCCCAGUACUGGAACAUUAUCAAUAACCUGUGUGUGGCCAGGCGUGGUGGCUCAUGCCUGUAAUCACGCCUUGGGAGGCCGAGAUGGGUGGAUCAUGUGAGGUCAGGUGUUCGAGACCAGCCUGGCCAACAUGGUGAAACCCCGUCUCUACUAAAAAUCCAAAACUUAGCAGGGCACGGUGCCACGCGCCUGUAAUCCCAGCUACUCGGGACGCUGAGGCAGAGAACUGCUUAAAAUCCAGGAGGUGGAGGUUGCAGUGAGCCGAGAUUUCGCCACUGCACUCCAGCCUGGGCGACAGAGCAAGAGUCUAUCUCAAAAAAACAAAAACAAAAACAAAAAAACAAAAAACAAAAAUUAGCCAGGCGUGGUUGUGGGCGCCUAUAAUCCCAGCUACUCGG